rnacentral:rRNA from 1 species
CCUACGGGAGGCAGCAGUGAGGAAUAUUGGUCAAUGGGCGCGAGCCUGAACCAGCCAAGUAGCGUGAAGGAGGACUGCCCUACGGGUUGUAAACUUCUUUUAUCAAGGAAUAAAGUGAGGCACGUGUGCCUUUUUGUAUGUACUUUAUGAAUAAGGAUCGGCUAACUCCGUGCCAACAACCGCGGUAAUACGGAGGAUCCGAGCGUUAUCCGGAUUUGUUGGGGUUAAAGGGAGCGGAGAUGGGUUGUUAAGUCAGUUGUGAAAGUUUGCGGCUCAACCGUAAAAUUGCAAUUGAUACUGGCAGCCUUGAGUACAGUUGAGGUAGGUGGAAUUCGUGGUGUAGCGGUGAAAUGCUUAGAUAUCACGAAGAACUCCGAUUGCGAAGGCAGCCUACUAAACUGCCACUGACAUUGAUGCUCGAAAGUGUGGGUAUCAAACAGGAUUAGAUACCCCAGUAGUC